rnacentral:rRNA from 1 species
GAUGAACGCUGGCGGCGUGCCUAAUACAUGCAAGUCGAGCGAACGGACGAGAAGCUUGCUACUCUGAUGUUAGCGGCGGACGGGUGAGUAACACGUGGAUAACCUACCUAUAAGACUGGGAUAACUUCGGGAAACCGUAGCUAAUACCGGAUAAUAUUUUGAACCGCAUGGUUCAAAAGUGAAAGACGGUCUUGCUGUCACUUAUAGAUGGAUCCGCGCUGCAUUAGCUAGUUGGUAAGGUAACGGCUUACCAAGGCAACGAUGCAUAGCCGACCUGAGAGGGUGAUCGGCCACACUGGAACUGAGACACGGUCCAGACUCCUACGGGAGGCAGCAGUAGGGAAUCUUCCGCAAUGGGCGAAAGCCUGACGGAGCAACGCCGCGUGAGUGAUGAAGGUCUUCGGAUCGUAAAACUCUGUUAUUAGGGAAGAACAUAUGUGUAAGUAACUGUGCACAUCUUGACGGUACCUAAUCAGAAAGCCACGGCUAACUACGUG